AUUGAACGCUAGCGGGAUGCUUUACACAUGCAAGUCGAACGAGUGGCGGACGGGUGAGUAAUAUAUCGGAACGUGCCCAGUAGCGGGGGAUAACUACUCGAAAGAGUGGCUCAUACCGCAUACUAUCGGAUCGGCCGAUAUCGGAUUAGCUAGUUGGGGGGGUAAAGGCUCACCAAGGCAACGAUCCGUAGCUGGUUUGAGAGGACGAUAAGCCAAACUGGGACUGAGACCCGGCCCAGACUCCUACGGGAGGGAGAAGUGGGGAAUUUUGGACAAGGGGGGAAACCCUGGUCCAGCCAUGCGGCGUGUAUGAGAAGGCCUUCGGGUUGUAAAGGACUUUUGGCUGGGAAGCGGUAGCAGCAGAAUGAGCACCGGCUAACUACGUGCCAGCCGCCGCGGUAAUAG
rnacentral:rRNA from 1 species